UGAGGAAUAUUGGACAAUGGGCGCAAGCCUGAUCCAGCAAUGCCGCGUGCAGGGUGAAGGCCUUCGGGUUGUAAACUGCUUUUGUACGGAGCGAAAAGGUCUGCCCUAAUACGGUGGGCUCAUGACGGUACCGUAAGAAUAAGCACCGGCUAACUACGUGCCAGCAGCCGCGGUAAUACGUAGGGUGCGAGCGUUAAUCGGAAUUACUGGCCGUAAAGCGUGCGCAGGCGGUUAUAUAAGACAGAUGUGAAAUCCCCGGGCUCAACCUGGGACCUGCAUUUGUGACUGUAUAGCUAGAGUACGGUAGAGGGGGAUGGAAUUCCGCGUGUAGCAGUGAAAUGCGUAGAUAUGCGGAGGAACACCGAUGGCGAAGGCAAUCCCCUGGACCUGUACUGACGCUCAUGCACGAAAGCGUGGGGAGCAAACA
rnacentral:rRNA from 1 species